GUUGUACUCCCUCCGUUUGAAAAUACUUGUCAUCAAAAUGGAUCAAAGGGGAUGUAUCUAGAUGUAUUUUAGUUUUAGAUACAUCACUUUUUAUCCAUUUUGAUGACAAGUAUUUUCGGAUGAAAGGAGUACUAA
rfam:Triticum aestivum genome assembly, contig: Triticum_aestivum_CS42_TGACv1_scaffold_373969_5AL